GACGAACGCUGGCGGCGUGCUUAACACAUGCAAGUCGAACGGAAAGGCCCUGCUUGCAGGGUACUCGAGUGGCGAACGGGUGAGUAACACGUGGGUGAUCUGCCCUGCACUUCGGGAUAAGCCUGGGAAACUGGGUCUAAUACCGGAUAGGAGCCAUUUUUAGUGUGAUGGUUGGAAAGUUUUUUCGGUGUAGGAUGAGCUCGCGGCCUAUCAGCUUGUUGGUGGGGUAAUGGCCUACCAAGGCGGCGACGGGUAGCCGGCCUGAGAGGGUGGACGACCACAUUGGGACUGAGAUACGGCCCAGACUCCUACGGGAGGCAGCAGUGGGGAAUAUUGCACAAUGGGCGCAAGCCUGAUGCAGCGACGCCGCGUGGGGGAUGACGGCCUUCGGGUUGUAAACUCCGUUCGCUAGGGACGAAGCUUUUUGUGACGGUACCUAGAGAAGAAGCACCGGCUAACUACGUG
rnacentral:rRNA from 1 species